rnacentral:rRNA from 1 species
AUUGAACGCUGGCGGCAGGCCUAACACAUGCAAGUCGAGCGGAAGAAGCGUGCUUGCUCCUGGAUUCAGCGGCGGACGGGUGAGUAAUGCCUGUGAAUCUGCUUGGCUGUGGGUGAUAACGUCCGGAGACGGGCGCUACUACCGCCUACUUCCUGCGGGUGCAGCUGGGGGAUCUUCGGACCUCUCGCUAGCAUGUGAGCCUAGGCCGGAUUUGAUAGUUGGUGGGGUAAGGGCCUACCUAGGCGACCAUUCGUAACUGGUCUGAGAGGAUGAUCAGUCACACUGGAAGUGGGACACCGUCCAGGCGCCUACGGGAGGCAGCAGUGGGGAAUGUUGGGCAAUAGGCGAAAGCCUGAUCCAGCCAUGCCGAGUGUGUGAAGAAGGUCUUCGGAUUGUAAAGCACUUUAAGGUGGGAGGAAGCGCAGUAAGUUAAUACCUUGCUGUAGUGACGGUACCAACAGAAUAAGCACCGGCUAACUUCGUG